UUGUUUUUCAAGUUUGAAGAUGGCUCGCCGUGGACCCCGACUCAUCGACAGCCACCAGGACUUCGCUGCAGGGCGUCUUGACUAUGUGGUUGAACGCCCUGCGGAAGAAGGCCUUCCUGAAGUCAUCAGGAUCCUGGAUGACACUGAUACCCAGCGUAUCAGUGAAGAUGGAGCUAACACCCCACCCAGAAGACAGCCUUACCCCGACCAACCCGAUGAGAAGGAUGGAUGACCAAGUGAAAAACUGGAGAGUGGUGCUGUGUUCCAACUAUGGAAGCUGAGCGUGGACAGAGCUGCACAGAGGACCAAAGAUCCACUCUCAGCACUUCAUACCUGACUGGCCACAGCACCACCC